CCUACGGGAGGCUGCAGUGGGGAAUAUUGGGCAAUGGGCGCAAGCCUGACCCAGCAACGCCGCGUGAAGGAAGAAGGCUUUCGGGUUGUAAACUUCUUUUCUCAGGGACGAAGAAAGUGACGGUACCUUAGUAAUAAGCCACGGCUAACUACGUGACAGCAGCCGCGGUAAUACGUAGUGGGCAAGGGUUUUCCGGAUUUAUUGGGUGUAAAGGGCGUGUAUGCGGGAGUGCAAGUCAGAGGUGAAAACUCAGGGCUCAACCCUGAGCCUGCAUUUGAAACUGGGUGUCUGGAGUGCUGGAGAGGUAAUCGGAAUUCCGUGUGAAGCGGUGAAAUGCGUAGAUAUAAGGAGGAACACCAGCGGCGAAGGCGGAUUGCUGGACAGUAACUGACGCUGAGGCGCGAAAGCGUGGGGAGCAAACAGGAUUAGAUACCCGUGUAGUC
rnacentral:rRNA from 1 species